rnacentral:rRNA from 1 species
GAUAGAAAGUUACUUCGGUACAUCGGUGACAGGUGGUGCAUGGUUGUCGUCAGCUCGUGUCGUGAGAUGUUGGGUUAAGUCCCGCAACGAGCGCAACCCCUAUUGUUAGUUUGCCAUCAUUCAGUUGGGCACUCUAGCGAGACUGCCGGUAAUAAACCGGAGGAAGGUGGGGAUGACGUCAAAUCAUCAUGCCCCUUAUGACCUGGGCUACACACGUGCUACAAUGGUUGGUACAACGAGUUGCGAGUCGGUGACGGCGAGCUAAUCUCUUAAAGCCAAUCUCAGUUCGGAUUGUAGGCUGCAACUCGCCUACAUGAAGUCGGAAUCGCUAGUAAUCGCGGAUCAGCACGCCGCGGUGAAUACGUUCCCGGGCCUU